rnacentral:rRNA from 1 species
AUUGAACGCUGGCGGCAGGCCUAACACAUGCAAGUCGAGCGGAUGAAGAGAGCUUGCUCUCUGAUUUAGCGGCGGACGGGUGAGUAAUGCCUAGGAAUCUGCCUGGUAGUGGGGGAUAACGUUCCGAAAGGAACGCUAAUACCGCAUACGUCCUACGGGGGAAAGCAGGGGACCUUCGGGCCUUGCGCUAUCAGAUGAGCCUAGGUCGGAUUAGCUAGUUGGUGAGGUAAAGGCUCACCAAGGCGACGAUCCGUAACUGGUCUGAGAGGAUGAUCAGUCACACUGGAACUGAGACACGGUCCAGACUCCUACGGGAGGCAGCAGUGGGGAAUAUUGGACAAUGGGCGAAAGCCUGAUCCAGCCAUGCCGCGUGUGCGAAGAAGGUCUUCGGAUUGUAAAGCACUUUAAGUUGGGAGGAAGGGCAGUAAGCUAAUACCUUGCUGUUUUGACGUUACCGACAGAAUAAGCACCGGCUAACUUCGUGCCAGCAGCCGCGGUAAUAC